UACGUAGGGGGCAAGCGUUGUCCGGAUUUAUUGGGCGUAAAGAGCGUGUAGGCGGUUUGGUAGGUCCGCUGUGAAAACUCGAGGCUCAACCUCGAGACGCCGGUGGAAACCAUCAGACUAGAGUCCGGAAGAGGAGAGUGGAAUUCCUGGUGUAGCGGUGGAAUGCGCAGAUAUCAGGAGGAACACCCGUGGCGAAGGCGGCUCUCUGGGACGGUACUGACACUGAGACGCGAAAGCGUGGGGAGCGAACAGG
rnacentral:rRNA from 1 species